AGUUAAUGAAGCAAACCCAGGCCUUGCAAAAGAUCUAAACCCUUUUUACAGAGGUUCAACUCCUCUCUUUAACU
rnacentral:tRNA from 1 species